GAUGAACGCUGGCGGCGUGCCUAAUACAUGCAAGUCGAGCGAACGGACGAGAAGCUUGCUUCUCUGAUGUUAGCGGCGGACGGGUGAGUAACACGUGGAUAACCUACCUAUAAGACUGGGAUAACUUCGGGAAACCGUAGCUAAUACCGGAUAAUAUUUUGAACCGCAUGGUUCAAAAGUGAAAGACGGUCUUGCUGUCACUUAUAGAUGGAUCCGCGCUGCAUUAGCUAGUUGGUAAGGUAACGGCUUACCAAGGCAACGAUGCAUAGCCGACCUGAGAGGGUGAUCGGCCACACUGGAACUGAGACACGGUCCAGACUCCUACGGGAGGCAGCAGUAGGGAAUCUUCCGCAAUGGGCGAAAGCCUGACGGAGCAACGCCGCGUGAGUGAUGAAGGUCUUCGGAUCGUAAAACUCUGUUAUUAGGGAAGAACAUAUGUGUAAGUAACUGUGCACAUCUUGACGGUACCUAACCAGAAAGCCACGGCUAACUACGUG
rnacentral:rRNA from 1 species